CGCCUCUUGCUAAUCAUAAGAGGUCUAGCCUGCCCAGUGACUCAAUUCAACGGCCGCGGUAUCCUAACCGUGCGAAGGUAGCGUAAUCACUUGUUCUUUAAAUGAGGACUAGUAUGAAUGGCAUCACGAGGGUUAAGCUGUCUCCCCUUUCUAAUCAGUGAAACUGAUCUUCCCGUGAAGAAGCGGGAAUAAACAUAUAAGACGAGAAGACCCUAUGGAGCUUUAAACUAACAACAAUUGCCACCUUCACUUAUAACUCCAGAAUAUUAAAUUUUAUUUUUGACAAUAUGAUUGCUAGUUUUCGGUUGGGGUGACCGCGGAGAAUAAAUUAACCUCCAUGAUGAAAGAAACUUUAUUUCUUAACCCAGAAUUACGACUCAAAGUACCAAAAAUUUGACAUAAACUGAUCCAAUUAGCUUGAUCAACGAACCAAGUUACCCUAGGGAUAACAGCGCAAUCCACUUCAAGAGCUCCUAUCGACAAGUGGGUUUACGACCUCGAUGUUGGAUCAGGGUAUCCUAGUGGUGCAGCCGCUACUAAAGGUUCGUUUGUUCAACGAUUAAAACCCUACGUGAUCUGAGU
rnacentral:rRNA from 1 species